rnacentral:tRNA from 1 species
CAAGGCAUAGCUAUAACCAAAGCACUCAGCUUACACCUGAAAGAUAUCUGCCAUUAACCAGAUUGCCUUGA